rnacentral:rRNA from 1 species
GAUGAACGCUGGCGGCGUGCCUAAUACAUGCAAGUCGAGCGAACAGACGAGGAGCUUGCUCCUCUGACGUUAGCGGCGGACGGGUGAGUAACACGUGGAUAACCUACCUAUAAGACUGGGAUAACUUCGGGAAACCGGAGCUCAUACCGGAUAAUAUAUUGAACCGCAUGGUUCAAUAGUGAAAGACGGUUUUGCUGUCACUUAUAGAUGGAUCCGCGCCGAAUUAGCUAGUUGGUAAGGUAACGGCUUACCAAGGCGACGAUGCGUAGCCGACCUGAGAGGGUGAUCGGCCACACUGGAACUGAGACACGGUCCAGACUCCUACGGGAGGAAGCAGUAGGGAAUCUUCCGCAAUGGGCGAAAGCUUGACGGAGCAACGCCGCGUGAGGGAUGAAGGUCUUCGGAUCGUAAAACUCUGUUAUUAGGGAAGAACAAAUGUGUAAGUAACUAUGCACGUCUUGACGGUACCUAAAGAAAAAGCCACGGCUAACUACGUG